rnacentral:snoRNA from 13 species
GCCACAUGACGAUUUGCUUUUUGUAAAGAGAGUGGGCAGCGGGCAACCGUUGGCCCACGAAUGACCAGUUACUAAUCUUCUCGCUGAUGGU